UACGUAGGGUGCGAGCGUUGUCCGGAAUUAUUGGGCGUAAAGGGCUCGUAGGCGGUUUGUCGCGUCGGGAGUGAAAUCCACUGGCUUAACUGGUGGCUUGCUUUCGAUACGGGCAGACUGGAGGUAUGCAGGGGAGAACGGAAUUCCUGGUGUAGCGGUGAAAUGCGCAGAUAUCAGGAGGAACACCGGUGGCGAAGGCGACUCUUUGGCCUGUAACUGACGCUGAGGCGCGAAAGCGUGGGGAGCAAACAGG
rnacentral:rRNA from 1 species